AGACUUGUAGAUUUCAAAUACACACACAGCUCUCAGUGGCUGAGUGAAACAGACGAUUAAACAGGCCUGAAGAGACAAUGAGUUAGAAAACAUAAUUUGAGGAGUUCCUGUUGUGGCUCAGCAGUAACAAACCCAACUAGUAUCCAUGAGGACGUGGGUUCGAUCCCUGGCCUUGCUCAGUAGGUUAAGGAUCCAGUGCUGCUGUGAACUGUGGUACAGGUCACAGACGCGGCUCGGAUCUGGCUUUGCCAUGCCUGUGGCGCAGGUUGGCAGCUGCAGCUCUGAUGUGACUCCUAGCCUGGGAACCUCCAAAAAAGACAAACGAACCAAAAAACCCCCGUAAUUUGAAGAAAUAACCUAUAAGGCAGCCCAGAGAGAUAAAGAGGUGACGUAUAUAAAUAGACCAAGAUAGCACAUUUUAACAUAACUAACUGGAGUCACAGAAGUAAAAAAUUGGUGUGCAAGUAAGACGGGGCCUUGAAGAACAGGCCACCCAUUGAGAGGGUGGACCCUGGAACCGCAGGGUCAGACCUCGCAGGCUGGUUCUCCCAUUUCUCAGCUUUGUGAUUAGAGGCAAGUAACGAAAGCUCACUGUGAUGGUUAAAUAAGGAUCAUAAGAGCAUCUAUGGUAUUAUAAGUAUUACAUUAGUUAUUACAUGUAAAACAUUCAGAGUAUGGCUUUACACAAUAAAGUUUUUUUUAAAAAAUCUUGCCCGGUAAUUCAGUUUUUUUUUAAGACAUGAUGCUGUAACUCUAUCUGUUGUUCAGCAUCUCCUAAGUUUGGCCUUAUAGUACCUGGUUAUAACCACCUGAGGGCACCCUUUCGAACGGGUGACCAAGAUCAAGUGAAUUCAUUUCUAGCUGAAUCUAUAACAAAGAAAAGAAAAGAAACAUUUCUAAACGUUUAAAUUCCUGAACGACUUAGAAGAGGUCCCUCACCAGAACCUGACCACACUGAUCCCCUGACCUUGGACUUCCAGCCUCCAGAACUGUGAGAAAUACAUUUGUUAUUUAUAAGCCAUCCAGUCUAUGGUAAUUUGUUAGAGCAGUUCCUUAUCUGUCCGAUGAAGAUACAAUAGCAGUUGCCUCAGAGUGUUGUGAGGAUUAAAGGCUUUACCUGUAUAUCAUCAUUUUAAGAGCACUUUUUUUUUUUCAUGUUUCAACAUCCUAAAACCGACGUCUUACCAUGAAUGGGGCUUCCACUCGCUGAUGUCUGCAUGGCAAUCAUGAUGUGGUUGCCCUCGAUGGCUCAUGGUGACUGCUGCUGCUCCAGGUUCCGGGGUGGGACACUGGCCAUCACCCCAGCUUUCAGGCCAUCUCCGGACCAUUUUAGGAGCAACAUAAAUCAUGAUUGUUGGAAAAUGUUCUUUGUGACACCUUAUCGUAAAGUCCAGGAAGCUCCAGUGUCAAAACUAGAGAAUGGGCCUCAGUGAAAAUCCUGCGACCAGAGUCCCGAGGACUUACUGAAAACAGACAGUCUCCAAAGAGAAAUGAGCUCUAGAAAUACAUUAAAUAACGUAUUUCACUUCUGUUUUCCUUUUUUUGUGUGUGAAUAAUUGUGACCUCUGUUUAAAGACAUACAUUAAGUGCUAUCUUUGAUAAGUAUGAUAUAAAAAUUCAUUAGCAGCAUAUUUUUUUCUUGGUGACUCAUACAAUAGUACCAUAUCUUACAAAUGAUACGUCUUAGCAUCAGUAAAGUGUAGAUGAAUCUUUUAGAAUAGUGCCUAUUUCUAAGGAAGUUAGUCUUAAAAGCUAUAUACUGUAUGAUUCCAACUAUGUGACAUUCUGAAAGAGGCAAACUAUGGAGAUAGUAAAAAAAAAAAUCAGUGGGCACCAGGCCUUAGGGGAGAGGGAAGGAAGAAUAGGUGAAGCACCAGGUCUUUUUAAGCAGUGGAACUACUCAGCAUGGUACCAUAUUGCUGGAUGCAUAUCAUUAUGCAUUUGACCCAACCUGUAGGAAGUACAAUAUCAGGAGUAAGUCUUAAUGGAAAGUAUGAACUUUGGUUCAAUUUAGUUGAAUACUAACAUACAAUGUAGGUUCCUCAACGGUGAUAAAGUUACCCUCUGGAGGGAGAUAUUGAUAAUGGGAAGGCAUAUCCAUGUUGUGCAUUUGGUAAUCUCUGUUUGUACCUUUUGCUUGAUUCUGCUGUGAACCUAAAACUGUUCUAAAAAUAAAAUCCAUGAAUGGAACUGGAGAUUCUCAUACUAAGUGAAGUAAGUCAAAAGAAAAAGACAAGCACCAUAUGAUAUCACCUAUACGUAGAAUCUGAAAUAUGGCACCAAUGAGCCUAUAUACAGAACAGAAACAGAAUUUCAAACAUAGGGAACAGACUUGUGGUUGCCAAGGGGGAGGGGGAGGGACUGGGAGGGACAGGGAGUUUGAGAUUAGUAGAUGAAAAUUAUUAUAUUUAGAAUGGAUAAGCAAUGAAGUCCUGCUCUAUAGCACAGGGAACUGUAUCCAGUCACUUGUGAUAGAACAUGAUAGAAGAGAAUAUGAGAAAAAGAACAUAUAUAUAUGUAUGACUGAGUCACUUUGCUGUACAACAGAAAUUGACAGAAUACUGUAAACCAACUACAAUAAAAAAUUUUAAAAAUAAAA
rnacentral:lncRNA from 1 species